rnacentral:rRNA from 1 species
GACGUAGGAUGCAAGCGUUGUCCGGAAUUAUUGGGCGUAAAGCGUUCGUAGGCGGUCUGUAAAGUCUGAUGUUAAAUCCCAGAGCUCAACUCUGGUUCAGCAUUGGAUACUCACAGACUUGAGUGCAGGAGAGGCAAGGGGAAUUCCUAGUGUAGCGGUGAAAUGCGUAGAUAUUAGGAGGAACACCGGUGGCGAAAGCGCCUUGCUGGACUGUUACUGACGCUGAGGGACGAAAGCCAGGGGAGCAAAUGGG